rnacentral:rRNA from 1 species
UACGAAGGGGGCUAGCGUUGCUCGGAAUUACUGGGCGUAAAGGGCGCGUAGGCGGCCAGAUUAGUCAGGCGUGAAAGCCCUGGGCUCAACCUGGGGACUGCGCUUGAUACGGUUUGGCUUGAGGACGGAAGAGGCUCGCGGAAUUCCCAGUGUAGAGGUGAAAUUCGUAGAUAUCGGGAGGAACACCGGUGGCGAAGGCGGCGACCUGGGUCGACACUGACGCUGAGGCGCGAAAGCGUGGGGAGCAAACAGG